rnacentral:rRNA from 1 species
GGCCAGACUCCUACGGGAGGCAGCAGUGGGGAAUAUUGGGCAAUGGGCGCAAGCCUGACCCAGCAACGCCGCGUGAAGGAAGAAGGCUUUCGGGUUGUAAACUUCUUUUCUCAGGGACGAAGCAAGUGACGGUACCUGAGGAAUAAGCCACGGCUAACUACGUGCCAGCAGCCGCGGUAAUACGUAGGUGGCAAGCGUUAUCCGGAUUUACUGGGUGUAAAGGGCGUGUAGGCGGGACUGCAAGUCAGAUGUGAAAACCAUGGGCUCAACCCAUGGCCUGCAUUUGAAACUGUAGUUCUUGAGUGUUGGAGAGGCAGGCGGAAUUCCGUGUGUAGCGGUGAAAUGCGUAGAUAUUAGGAGGAACACCGGCGGCGAAGGCGGCCUGCUGGACCGAAACUGACGUUGAGGCUCGAAAGCGUGGGGAGCAAACAGGAUUAGAUACCCGUGUA